rnacentral:pre_miRNA from 1 species
GAGAUACCCUUAUGGAGUAGGACUUCCUUUAGUGGGGCUUUGGUGCUCACUGAAUCUUCCCCUUGAGUGUGUCACU